CACGACUACGAGUUUGAUCAUGGCUCAGAUUGAACGCUGGCGGCAGGCUUAACACAUGCAAGUCGAGCGGAGACUUCGGUCUUAGCGGCGAACGGGUGAGUAAUACCUAGGAAUCUGCCUAUUAGUGGGGGAUAACGAAUCGAAAGGUUCGCUAAUACCGCAUACGUCCUACGGGAGAAAGGGGGGGAUCUUCGGACCUCUCGCUAAUAGAUGAGCCUAGGCCGGAUUAGCUAGUUGGUAGGGUAAAGGCCUACCAAGGCGACGAUCUGUAGCUGGUCUGAGAGGAUGGCCAGCCACACUGGAACUGAGACACGGUCCAGACUCCUACGGGAGGCAGCAGUGGGGAAUAUUGGACAAUGGGCGCAAGCCUGAUCCAGCCAUGCCGCGUGUGUGAAGAAGGCCUUCGGGUUGUAAAGCACUUUAAGCGAGGAGGAAGGUCUUUGAACUAAUAUUUCAAAGAAUUGACGUUACUCGCAGAAUAAGCACCGGCUAACUCUGUG
rnacentral:rRNA from 1 species